GACGAACGCUGGCGGCGUGCUUAACACAUGCAAGUCGAACGGUAAGGCCCUUCGGGGUACACGAGUGGCGAACGGGUGAGUAACACGUGGGUGAUCUGCCCUGCACUUCGGGAUAAGCCUGGGAAACUGGGUCUAAUACCGGAUAGGACCCUGGGAUGCAUGUCCUGGGGUGGAAAGCUUUUGCGGUGUGGGAUGGGCCCGCGGCCUAUCAGCUUGUUGGUGGGGUGAUGGCCUACCAAGGCGACGACGGGUAGCCGGCCGUAGAGGGUGGCCGGCCACACUGGGACUGAGAUCCGGCCCAGACUCCUACGGGAGGCAGCAGUGGGGAGUAUUGCACAAUGGGCGCAAGCCUGAUGCAGCGACGCCGCGUGAGGGAUGACGGCCUUCGGGUUGUAAACCUCUUUCAGCACCGACGAAGCGCAAGUGACGGUAGGUGCAGAAGAAGGACCGGCCAACUACGUGCCAGCAGCCGCAGUAA
rnacentral:rRNA from 1 species